GCUGGGUGAGGUGGUGCACACCUAUAAUCCCAGCAGCUCGGGAGGCUGGGGCAGGAGGAUCACGAGUUCAAAGCCAGCCUCAGCAACAGUGAAGUGCUGAGCAACUCAGUGUGACCCUGUCCUUA
rnacentral:sRNA from 1 species